AUACGUAGGGGGCGAGCGUUGUCCGGAAUGAUUGGGCGUAAAGGGCGCGUAGGCGGCGCGGUAAGUCUGGAGUGAAAGUCCUGCUUUCAAGGUGGGAAUUGCUUUGGAUACUGCCGCGCUUGAGUGCAGGAGAGGUUAUCGGAAUUCCCGGUGUAGCGGUGAAAUGCGUAGAGAUCGGGAGGAACACCAGUGGCGAAGGCGAGUAACUGGACUGCAACUGACGCUGAGGCGCGAAAGUGUGGGGAGCAAACAGGAUUAGAUACCCUGGUAGUCCACGCGGUAAACGAUGAAUGCUAGGUGUUGCGGGUAUCGACCCCUGCAGUGCCGGAGUCAACACAAUAAGCAUUCCGCCUGGGGAGUACGGCCGCAAGGUUGAAACUCAAAGGAAUGGGCGGGG
rnacentral:rRNA from 1 species